rnacentral:rRNA from 1 species
UACAGAGGUCCCAAGCGUUGUUCGGAUUCAUUGGGCGUAAAGGGUGCGUAGGCGGCGUCGUAAGUCGGGUGUGAAAUUUCGGAGCUUAACUCCGAAACUGCAUUCGAUACUGCGGUGCUUGAGGACUGGAGAGGAGACUGGAAUUUACGGUGUAGCAGUGAAAUGCGUAGAGAUCGUAAGGAAGACCAGUGGCGAAGGCGGGUCUCUGGACAGUUCCUGACACUGAGGCACGAAGGCCAGGGGAGCAAACGGG